UACGUAGGGGGCAAGCGUUGUCCGGAUUUACUGGGCGUAAAGCGUGCGUAGGCGGAAGUUUAGGUGGCCUGAAAGCCCCCGGCUCAACCGGGGAGGGUGGCUGCAAACUGGGCUUCUUGAGGGGGAUAGAGGAGAGUGGAAUUCCGGGUGUAGCGGUGAAAUGCGUAGAUAUCUGGAGGAAUACCGGUGGCGAAGGCGGCAUCCUGGACCGACAUUGACGCUGAACGGCGAAAGCUAGGGGAGCAAACGGG
rnacentral:rRNA from 1 species